UACGGGGGGGGCAAGCGUUGUUCGGAAUUACUGGGCGUAAAGGGCUCGUAGGCGGCCCACUAAGUCAGACGUGAAAUCCCUCGGCUUAACCGGGGAACUGCGUCUGAUACUGGAUGGCUAGAGGUUGGGAGAGGGAUGCGGAAUUCCAGGUGUAGCGGUGAAAUGCGUAGAUAUCUGGAGGAACACCGGUGGCGAAGGCGGCAUCCUGGACCGACACUGACGCUGAGGAGCGAAAGCCAGGGGAGCAAACGGG
rnacentral:rRNA from 1 species